rnacentral:rRNA from 1 species
GACAGAGGCCCCAAGCGUUAGGCGGAAUCACUGGGCUUAAAGCGUGUGUAGGCGGAUCGUUAAGUGUCUUGUGAAAUCCCACGGCUCGCCCGUGGAACUGCUGGGCAUACUGGCGAUCUUGGGCCAACUAGGGGCAGCUGGAACAAGCGGUGGAGCGGUGAAAUGCGUAGAUAUCGCUUGGAACGCCGAAGGUGAAAACAGGACUGCUGGGGUUGCGCCGACGCUGAGACACGAAAGCCAGGGGAGCAAACGGG